rnacentral:rRNA from 1 species
GAUGAACGCUGGCGGUCUGCUUAACACAUGCAAGUCGAACGAACUCUUCGGAGUGAGUGGCGGACGGGUGAGUAACGCGUGAGAAUCUGCCUGUGGGUCGGGGACAACCACUGGAAACGGUGGCUAAUACCGGAUGAGCCGAAAGGUAAAAAAUUUAUUGCCCACAGAUGAGCUCGCGUCUGAUUAGCUAGUUGGUAAGGUAAAAGCGUACCAAGGCGACGAUCAGUAGCUGGUCUGAGGGGAUGAGCAGCCACACUGGGACUGAGACACGGCCCAGACUCCUACGGGAGGCAGCAGUGGGGAAUUUUCCGCAAUGGGCGAAAGCCUGACGGAGCAAGACCGCGUGGGGGAGGAAGGUUUUUGGAUCGUAAACCCCUUUUGUCAAGGAAGAAGUUCUGACGGUACUUGACGAAUAAGCCUCGGCUAACUCCGUGCCAGCAGCCGCGGUAAUACGGAGGAGGCAAGCGUUAUCCGGAAUGAUUGGGCGUAAAGCGUCUGUAGGUGGCCAGCUAAGUCUGCUGUUAAAGAUCACAGCUCA